UACAGAGGGUGCGAGCGUUGUCCGGAAUCACUGGGCGUAAAGGGCGCGUAGGUGGCUUGCCAAGCGUGUGGUGAAAGCCCGGAGCUCAACUCCGGGUCGGCCAUGCGAACUGGCAGGCUAGAGCACGGUAGAGGCCAAUGGAAUUCCGGGUGUAGCGGUGGAAUGCGUAGAGAUCCGGAAGAACACCGAUGGCGAAGGCAAUCCCCUGGGCCUGCACUGACGCUCAUGCACGAAAGCGUGGGGAGCAAACAGG
rnacentral:rRNA from 1 species